rnacentral:rRNA from 1 species
UAGGGAAUCUUCCGCAAUGGACGAAAGUCUGACGGAGCAACGCCGCGUGAGUGAAGAAGGAUUUCGGUUCGUAAAACUCUGUUGUUAGGGAAGAAAAAAUGUAUAGUAACUAUAUACAAAAGAGACGGUACCUAACCAGAAAGCCACGGCUAACUACGUGCCAGCAGCCGCGGUAAUACGUAGGUGGCAAGCGUUGUCCGGAAUUAUUGGGCGUAAAGCGCGCGCAGGUGGUUUAGAAAGUCUGAUGUGAAAGCCCACGGCUCAACCGUGGAGGUCAUUGGAAACUAAUAAACUUGAGUGCAGGAGAGAAAAGUGGAAUUCCUAGUGUAGCGGUGAAAUGCGUAGAGAUUAGGAGGAACACCGGUGGCGAAAGCGGCUUUUUGGCCUGCAACUGACACUGAGGCGCGAAAGCGUGGGGAGCAAACAGG